AAAGGUUGACCUCGGAUCAGGUAGGAAUACCCGCUGAACUUAAGCAUAUCAAUAAGCGGAGGAAUCACUAG
rnacentral:rRNA from 1 species